AGUGAACGCUGGCGGUAGGCCUAACACAUGCAAGUCGAACGGCAGCACAGUAAGAGCUUGCUCUUACGGGUGGCGAGUGGCGGACGGGUGAGGAAUACAUCGGAAUCUACUUUUUCGUGGGGGAUAACGUAGGGAAACUUACGCUAAUACCGCAUACGACCUACGGGUGAAAGCAGGGGAUCUUCGGACCUUGCGCGAUUGAAUGAGCCGAUGUCGGAUUAGCUAGUUGGCGGGGUAAAGGCCCACCAAGGCGACGAUCCGUAGCUGGUCUGAGAGGAUGAUCAGCCACACUGGAGCUGAGACACGGUCCAGACUCCUACGGGAGGCAGCAGUGGGGAAUAUUGGACAAUGGGCGCAAGCCUGAUCCAGCCAUACCGCGUGGGUGAAGAGGGCCUUCGGGUUGUAAAGCCCUUUUGUUGGGAAAGAAAAGCAGCAGGUUAAUACCCCGCUGUUCUGACGGUACCCAAAGAAUAAGCACUGGCUAACUUCGUG
rnacentral:rRNA from 1 species